CUCUCACAACAUUUUUGAGAGUGUGUAGUUGCCAUGUCUGUGAAAAUGCAGAAUAUGAAACAUUGAGUUUGCGAAAAAUAUGUGACUAAAGAAGCAUGGAGAAGACUCGAAGAAACUCACUCAAAGUUGCACAAUUGUAGAAUCAACCAGUUGCUUUUUGGCAUUUUUCCUGGCGAUGUAUCCCUUCCAAUGUGCCUACAACAUAUAUACACUAUUGGUCACUGAGCUAAAACAUAGGUUGUGAUUUGAAGCAUGGAGAUGAAGAGAGGAAGAACCUGCAUUGCGUAUAAAUCAUUGAAAUGAGCAACAAUAAGCUGACUCGGAUAGUCAAAAGAAACUUGUGAAGAUUUACAAAGGAAACAGAGGCAGUCAAAGAAAGAAUGUUGCAGAAACCU